rnacentral:rRNA from 1 species
GACGAACGCUGGCGGCGCGCUUAACACAUGCAAGUCGAACGGAAAGGCCUGCUUUCCCUUGUGGAUUGCGGGUACUCGAGUGGCGAACGGGUGAGUAACACGUGAGUGAUCUGCCCCCAACUUGGGUAUAAGCCUGGGAAACUGGGUCUAAUUCCCGAUAGGACUGCAGGGUGGUGCCUGUGGUGGAAAACGAUUUUCUAGUGGUUGGGGAUGAGCUCGCGGCCUAUCAGCUUGUUGGUGGGGUAAUGGCCUACCAAGGCGGCGACGGGUAGCCGGCCUGAGAGGGUGGACGGCCACAGUUGGACUGAGACUCCGCCCAGACUCCUACGGGAGGCAGCAGUGGGGAAUAUUGCACAAUGGGCGGAAGCCUGAUGCCGCGACGCCGAGUAGGGGAUGACGGCCUUCGGGUUGUAAACUCCUUUCGACCGCGAGGAAGCCACCUGGUUGGAAGGGUGGUGACGGUAGUGGUAGAAGAAGCACCGGCUAACUACGUG